rnacentral:rRNA from 1 species
AGCAGCCGCGGUAAUUCCAGCUCCAAUAGCGUAUAUUAAAGUUGUUGCAGUUAAAAAGCUCGUAGUUGAAUUUCGGGAUUAGUACGCUGGUCGUGCCUUUGGUAUGUACUGGUGUUACUGGUUCCUACCUUCUGACGAACCGUCAUGUCAUUAAUUUGGUGUGGCGGGGAAUCAGGACUGUUACUUUGAAAAAUUAGAGUGUUUAAAGCAGGCCCGCGCUUGAAUACAUUAGCAUGGAAUAAUGAAAUAGGACGUUCGAUCCUAUUUUGUUGGUUUCUAGGAUUGACGUAAUGAUUAAUAGGGAUAGUUGGGGGCAUUAGUAUUCAAUUGUCAGAGGUGAAAUUCUUGGAUUUAUUGAAGACUAACUACUGCGAAAGCAUUUGCCAAGGAUGUUUUCAUUAAUCAAGAACGAAAGUUAGGGGAUCGAAGACGAUCAGAUACCGUCGUAGU